GGGCCUCUCAAAGGGCCAGGGUUACAGGGAAGAGCCACCGCGCCCAGUCCAGGGUGGGUCAUCUUCUCCCGGACCUUAUGUGGAGUCCGAGGCCCCCGAGCCCGCUGCCAAAGACCAAGUUCCAAGACCUAACCUAGUAAAGAACCCAGUUGUGCCUCCACCCGGAAGCGACUCGGGCUCGGGGCCGGAAGUGACGCCCUUUCUGUGCGCCGAGCCCAGAAACGGCCGCGCUCCGCCCCACGAACACCUGUUUCUGGGCGGAGAGCCCGCGCCGUUUCCUCCUCUGGUGUUUCGGCGCGGCCUCGGAUCCGGCAAGAUGGGCAAGAAAGGUAAGAAGGAGAAGAAGGGCCGCGGCGCGGAGAAGACAGCCGCCAAGAUGGAGAAGAAGGUGUCCAAGCGCUCGCGGAAGGAGGAGGAAGACCUGGAGGCGCUCAUAGCCCAUUUCCAGACACUCGAUGCCAAGAAGACUCAGAUUGUGGAAACUCCGUGCUCCCCGCCCUCACCAAGUAGGAGAUGAACCUUGCAGGAUUCACCUUGUGAAUAAAGCUGCCGCAGGCCCAAGUGGAAGCCGGCGUUCGGCCCUUCUGGAGCGGGGGUCAUGAUUGUGCUGCCUUUGCCUUGACAAGUUGCACCUACCGGCCUCGGAGGCAGGGUUAUCACGUGCACAGAGGUGGGAGGAGCGUGGCGAUGAGUCCCUGAGCAGAGCGAGUCCUGUGGGGGCCACUCCCAAAGGCAGAUGUUCUUCCUGCUUUCACUUGAAUGUCCAGUAGGGUUUGAGUUUUAUUUUUCCC